rnacentral:rRNA from 1 species
UUCGGCCUGGUUAUUCAUAACCCUUUGUUGUCCGACUCUGUUGCCUCCGGGGCGACCCUGCCUUCGGGCGGGGGCUCCGGGUGGACACUUCAAACUCUUGCGUAACUUUGCAGUCUGAGUAAACUUAAUUAAUAAAUUAAAACUUUUAACAACGGAUCUCUUGGUUCUGGCAUCGAUGAAGAACGCAGCGAAAUGCGAUAAGUAAUGUGAAUUGCAGAAUUCAGUGAAUCAUCGAAUCUUUGAACGCACAUUGCGCCCAUUGGUAUUCCAAUGGGCAUGCCUGUUCGAGCGUCAUUUGUACCCUCAAGCUUUGCUUGGUGUUGGGCGUUUGUCUUUCGAGACUCGCCUUAAAAAGAUUGGCAGCCGGCAUACUGGUUUCGGAGCGCAGCACAAAUUGCGGUCUGUUCCUGAAUGUUGACGUCCAUGAAGCCCCCAUUAUCACUUUUGACCUCGGAUCAGGUAGGGAUACCCGCUGAACUUAAGCAUAUCAAUAAGCGGAG